GAUGAACGCUGGCGGCGUGCCUAAUACAUGCAAGUCGAGCGAACAGAUGAGGAGCUUGCUCCUCUGACGUUAGCGGCGGACGGGGGAGUAACACGUGGAUAACCUACCUAUAAGACUGGGAUAACUUCGGGAAACCGGAGCUAAUACCGGAUAAUAUAUUGAACCGCAUGGUUCAAUAGUGAAAGACGGUUUUGCUGUCACUUAUAGAUGGAUCCGCGCCGCAUUAGCUAGUUGGUAAGGUAACGGCUUACCAAGGCAACGAUGUGUAGCCGACCUGAGAGGGUGAUCGGCCACACUGGAACUGAGACACGGUCCAGACUCCUACGGGAGGCAGCAGUAGGGAAUCUUCCGCAAUGGGCGAAAGCCUGACGGAGCAACGCCGCGUGAGUGAUGAAGGUCUUCGGAUCGUAAAACUCUGUUAUUAGGGAAGAACAAAUGUGUAAGUAACUAUGCACGUCUUGACGGUACCUAAUCAGAAAGCCACGGCUAACUACGUG
rnacentral:rRNA from 1 species